rnacentral:rRNA from 1 species
GUGCCAGCAGCCGCGGUAAUACGUAGGGGGCAAGCGUUGUCCGGAUUUAUUGGGCGUAAAGAGCGUGUAGGCGGCAAGACAGGUCCGUUGUGAAAACUCGAGGCUCAACCUCGAGACGCCGAUGGAAACCGUCUGGCUAGAGUCCGGAAGAGGAGAGUGGAAUUCCUGGUGUAGCGGUGAAAUGCGCAGAUAUCAGGAAGAACACCAGUGGCUAAGGCGGCUCUCUAGUACGGUACUGACGCUGAGACGCGAGAGCGUGGGGAGCGAACAGGAUUAGAAACCCCCGUAGUCC